GGGGGAACACAGCCAGGGCAGGACAAAGAUUUCAGAGGACUAUCUGGCAGAGAGAACUCUCCGCAGAGGGGCCAGCAGCACUUCAAGAAACCAAUUGUUAUGCAGAGGAAGUUUCCCCAGAACUCGGGAUUUCAGCAGGAUCAUGCUCUUGGGCAGUGCUGCCAGCUGAUGGGGUCUGCUCAUCCGGCACAGCUCAUCUCAGCAUGAGGAGAGAGACCACUGCUGUCAGUCCAAGGAGGUUUGGAUGCCAGGCAGUGACAGGGAGCUGCCCUGGAGCAUGGCCGAGGAGUCUGUCAGGAAUUCACAGAUCCUGCAGAGCGGGGAACGUGACACCAUGACAAGCAGGGGGGGAACAUUUUGGAAUGUACAUCUCUGGCAUUUUGAAAGACGCUCCAGCCUGUCUGUGCCAAAGGGGGCAGCCAAACGCCCGCCUGCCCAUGAUGCUUGCGGCUCAUCCUCCGAGGGGAGCCGAUGGCCCAGAACACUUCCCUGGUAUUUGCUCAGCUCAUUUAAUGAGAACCAGCCCUCUCGCUGCCUGGGACAUGGUGGCCGAACGGUGCAGAACCUGGGUCUGGAUGCAGCACUGGGGCCCGGGCUUUGAAGCUUCAGCUGCUGCUGCCGGUAUGGAGCAAACAGAACCCUUUGAAGUCUCGUUGGUUUCGACAGCUCUUCAUUACAGCACACACUAACGAUCGGCUGAUUCUGUGAAUUUGAACUUCUUAGGGCGGCUUUUUAACCAGGACGACUGCCUUCAAAAGGGCCCUGUCAAGAGAAUGUUCAUUUCUGGUAUCAUUGGUGGCUACAACCGGACAUCUGUGGUGAAGGAGAGGUGACAUCCAUUUUUCUUGCCCAUCUUUCGGGUGUGUUCCAGUCCCACAUCUCUCUUUCAGUUAUGCAAAUGAGGAUCAACAACAAAACAGUGGCAUGAAUCUUCAGGGCAAGGCCAACCAUCUGUCAAAACCAGUUUAUUUGAAGACUGAACAUCUGACAUGGUCCCUUUAAGUAAAAUAUAAACUCUGGCUGCAAUGUUCCAAUACUUUAGUAGCAGGCAAGGCCCUACUUGCCUGACUGAGUUGUUCUUUCAGCUGUUCCUCUGUGAGACCCAGUGAUCGCAUUCCUCUGGCCCUGCAUGCACUCUGCAGUUCGGAUACACUUAGCACAUUAACACCUUCCUUAGCAAUCAUCUGAAAGGAAAAGGAACAUUCACAUGCAGGCCUCCAGAAGCCCAAACCCUAGUUUAUUCAUGAAGUCUGGUACUGAAGAGAUGCCUGUUUGCAUUGGAGGGGAGUAGAGAAUAAACAAAGGAAAACCUACUGAUACCAAAACUGGGAUUCAGCAGACAUCCCGUCUGUGACGGCCUAGCUGCAUGCCGAACAGCUAAAGGCAUGGGAUAACCUUGGGCCUGAUCCUCCAAACACUUACUUACACAUGAGUAACUGCACUCUUGUGUGUGGCCCUACUGAACUGUAAUGCAACCACUCACAGGGUAAAGUAGCUCACAUGCAUAAGGAUUUUCAGGAUUGGGCCUUUAUUUGUAAAAAUGGACCUAUCGUUCCAUAUGCUUAAGUCAAAGGUAGCCAGGGACCACUUAGAAAUUAUGCUGUGACACAACUAAUUAACAAAAAGCCUCCAGAUACUUCAUUUGAGUCUCAUGGUAGUGCCAGAUUUCCUCAUUUAUCAUGCUCCCAAGAUUGGACAGCAACAGGAAUGAGUUUGGCAUCAGUGCACUCUAAAUUCAGAUUGCUAGUUACAUAAUAGAAAUGGCCCAAAGUUUCUAUAGAACUAAGUAUGAUAAAAUUGAAGUAGUAUAAGAGAUGGGGCUCCGCAAUCAUUCAUUGCUACAGGCUACUGAGAUCCUAGGAGGCCUCCUUCUUAAUAGCAAGAGAGUUUCCUCUGAGAUGCUCCUUGGUAGAGCUGAUAGAAGGUACUGGAGGGCUGAACUGCCAACACUCUACUUCCUUAGAGUCUCUCAUGGGAUAAUCCUCCUCUUACAAAUAGUAAGAUCACCCCUCUCCCUGUUAAUGUGGGCAGCAGCAUACCUAGAAUAUCAGAUAGGCAAACUGCAGCUCAGAGAAAGGAAGUGACUUGCAGAAUCAGAACUAGAACCCAGGUCUCCUGUACUAACUAUUAGAUCACACCGCAUCUGUGCUAUUUGUUUUAGUCUCUUACUUCAUCAUCUGCUUUUAUAGACCUGAG